rnacentral:rRNA from 1 species
GAUGAACGCUGGCGGCGUGCCUAAUACAUGCAAGUCGAGCGAACAGACGAGGAGCUUGCUCCUUUGACGUUAGCGGCGGACGGGUGAGUAACACGUGGGUAACCUACCUAUAAGACUGGGAUAACUUCGGGAAACCGGAGCUAAUACCGGAUAAUAUUUCGAACCGCAUGGUUCGAUAGUGAAAGAUGGCUUUGCUAUCACUUAUAGAUGGACCUGCGCCGUAUUAGCUAGUUGGUAAGGUAACGGCUUACCAAGGCAACGAUACGUAGCCGACCUGAGAGGGUGAUCGGCCACACUGGAACUGAGACACGGUCCAGACUCCUACGGGAGGCAGCAGUAGGGAAUCUUCCGCAAUGGGCGAGAGCCUGACGGAGCAACGCCACGUGAGUGAUGAAGGUCUUCGGAUCGUAAAACUCUGUUAUUAGGGAAGAACAAACGUGUAAGUAACUGUGCACGUCUUGACGGUACCUAAUCAGAAAGCCACGGCUAACUACGUG